rnacentral:rRNA from 1 species
GGUUGAUCCUGCCAGUAGUCAUAUGCUUGUCUAAAAGAUUAAGCCAUGCAAGUCUAAGUAUAAGCAAUUAUACUGUGAAACUGCAGAAAGCUCAUUAUAUCAGUUAUAGUUUAUUUGAUGGUACCCUUCUACAUGGAUAACUGUAGUAAUUCUAGAGCUAAUACCUGUCGGAAUUCCUGACUCGCAAGGGAAAGGAUGGACUUAUUAGAUACUCCGCCAACCUGGCUUGCCAGUUCUAUGGUGAAUCAUAAUAAUUUCUAGAUCGCAUGCUCUUCGGGGUGGCGAUGGGUCAU